rnacentral:rRNA from 1 species
AGAUUGAACGCUGGCGGCAGGCCUAACACAUGCAAGUCGAGCGGUAGAGAGGUGCUUGCACCUCUUGAGAGCGGCGGACGGGUGAGUAAAGCCUAGGAAUCUGCCUGGUAGUGGGGGGAUAACGGCUCGGAAACGGACGCUAAUACCGCAUACGUCCUACGGGAGAAGGCAGGGGGACCUUCGGGCCUUGCGCUAUCAGAUGAGCCUAGGUCGGAUUAGCUAGUUGGUGAGGUAAUGGCUCACCAAGGCGACGAUCCGUAACUGGUCUGAGAGGAUGAUCAGUCACACUGGAACUGAGACACGGUCCAGACUCCUACGGGAGGCAGCAGUGGGAAUAUUGGACAAGUGGGCGAAAGCCUGAUCCAGCCAUGCCGCGUGUGUGAAGAAGGUCUUCGGAUUGUAAAGCAACUUUAAGUUGGAAGGAAGGCAAUUAACCUAAUACGUUAGUGUUUGACGUUACGACAGAAUAAGCACCGGACUAACUCUAGUGCCAGC